ACACAAAGAACUGCGUAAGAUCCGUGUUUGAAAAUUGCAGACAAAAGAAUUACUACAAGUGUAAGUUAAUGUCAUUUAUGCUUGAUGGUGACAACGACACUGUAAUCCACCUCGAUAGUGCUUUCAAGAAUAUCACUGUCACAAAACUCAUAAACGCGAGUCGUCACGCUUGCGUACCUCGGGACGUUGAGCGGGUAAUGUGCGAGGGUCGAAUACCUUGUGCAGACAUAAAGCGGUGCACACACCUGACAGAGUCAUUAGACGGCCUCAGGUUGACUGCAGCUGUGCUCAGUGAAGAUGUCCGAGUUGACAGGACGAGAUUUAGGAGAUGGAGUGUCAUUUGCUGCCAGCCCAGCUGAGACAGCAGUCCAAGAAAACUCAAAGCAAGAACGAAGACGUUGUGAGAUCAUCAAAGAACUUAUUGAAACAGAGAAGACAUAUCUGAAUCAUCUGGAUAUUAUUCACAAAUUUUUCUACUCCCCCCUGAAGGAAAAGGAGGACAUCAUUCCGAAAGAUGCCCACUUAGUCUUGUUUAGAAAUAUUGAGCAAAUCAGAGAAGUCAACCGCACCUUGCUGGAAGUGAUGGAGCAAAGCACAGUGGGUCAGGCUUUCCGUCACCUGGGCCCAUUCCUCAAAUUGUAUGCAACAUACGCCAACAACCAUAUGCAAGCUCUUGAUGUGCUACAGGAAUGGAGACAGAAAAAGCCAGAGUUUGCAGACUUCAUUGCAACACAAGAAUCACGACCUGAAUUAAUGAUGCUGUCGAUAGAUGCACUGCUAAUCAUGCCUGUGCAACGAAUUCCCAGAUACAGACUUCUUCUCGAGGACCUUCUGGAACAUACUCACAAAAAAGACCCUGACUAUCUACAACUGAAAGAGGCCACACAACAGAUUGGAAAAAUUACCAUGCACAUCAACGAAGACAUUCGAAAGCAUGAGAACUUUCAAAAAAUGUUGGCCAUACAGAAAUGUUUUGACAGCUCUGCUCCUCAGAUACUGAAGCCUGGACGCUUGUUUCUGAAAGAAGGGCCACUGAAAAAGGCUUCCCGCAAAGGAGGAAAUUACCACGAAAGAAUGUUUUACCUUUUCAAUGACAUGUUGUUAUAUGGAAAGCCAAGACUGCUGGAUAGUGGUGGCAAAAGCUACAUCUGUUGUUGUGUCCUUCCAAUUAAACAUUGUUGCCUUGAGAAUUGUGGAUGUGUGUUCAAGAAAAGCCAAAAGUGACUCCCUGACAUUAAGAAAACCCAGCAGUCGCAGGAUACCUCUACGGGGACGUUUAUUACGCACACAUCAAAAGAGUUGGGAUCUGGAGAUGACAUCUGAAAACAAUUGGAUGCCGGGUGAGCAAGACGAGAGCGACAACUACUGUUCACCAGACUGCUACUGCUUGCAUUUUAUUCAAGCUCGUCUCCAAAACAUUUACAGAAGUUUGAGGAAUCGGUAAUAUAAAACUC
rnacentral:misc_RNA from 1 species